GACAACUCGCGGGGAUUGUUUUCCACACCGUGGAAGCUUUGUUCUUUUCGUUUUUUGCAAUAAAUCUUGUUGCUGCUCGCUUUUUGGGUCCACAUUGCUUUUAUGAGCUGUACCACUCACCGUGAAGAUCUGCAGCUUCACUUCAGAGCCUAGCGAGACCACAAGCUCACUGAGAGGAACAAACAACUCCAGACGCGCUGUCUUAAGAGCUAUAACACUCACCGCGAAGGUGUGCAGUUUCACUCCUGAGCUAGUGAGACUACGAAGCCACUGGAACGAAGAAACUCCAACCACGUUUGAACAUCAGAAGGGGCAGACUCCAGACGCUUCAUCUUAAGAGCUGUAACACUCACUGUGAAGGUCUGCAGCUUCACUCCUGAGCCAGCGAGACCACGAACCGAUCUGAACAUCAGAAGGGACAGACUCCAGAUGCCCCACCUUAAGAGCUGUAAUACUCACUGCAAGGGUCUGCAGCUUCAUUCUUGAAGUCAGACCAAGAACCCAGCAAUUCCCAACACACAGGGACCAGCUUCUUUCCUAACUCACUUAGGCUCUUCGUGCUGCUCUGGCAACUAACACCCUUGGCUGCAGGGGCUUGGACACUACCCUUAGUCACUGACAAUUGUGUGAAGGCUGCUGUCGUUAACUUCACUUGAUCACCUUAGGCUCCUGUGAAGUGGUGAGCAAUUCAAACAAAUUCCUGUCGUCAAAUCAUGUGUUCAGCUGCAUUGGCGCCAGAGCACCAAUGGGGCAAGAGAAUCCUCUGGAGAAGUUUUCUGUGAUCUCAUCACAGGAGUAGCCCAGAGGAACAGCCCAGGGCCUGGGGCCUAGGAUGGGUGGACCAGGCCAUGCAGCUGGUUGGGGGCUUGACCCCCACUCAAAAAGGAUAUACAUCUUUCCACACCAAUAGACCUUGUUUUCCGAUGUAGCAUUAUUUUUCAUAGUUGGCGAAUAUACAGUUAUGGAUUCAUAACAGCAAGAUGGAGAAAUUGCACUGCAGAGAAAUCUUUAAAAGCAAUUACCUAAUACUGCAGAUUGCUGAACUGUACCCACACCCAAGACUGAGCAUUGGAUCAAUCCAGAAUAUACAUCAGGUGUUCUGCAAUGUCUGCCUAAAACCAUGACUCUGCCUCCUCCAGCUGUUGCUACAUCUCACUAUGGGUUUCCUGUGACAUUUUGAGCAAGUAUGCCUCUGUGACUGGGGUUCUUACACUCCAGAAUGGAUGAGAAGCACCGUAAGUGGCUUUUAAAAUGAAUAUUCCCUGGCCCUUCAGUCGCUCUAUAGGUCAAGAAUCUGAAUUCUCAACCUGUCUAGAAGGUUCUGGUUUUAAUGGUCUGUGGGCUGCACAUUGAGAAACCUGUUCAGCGAGUGCAACAAAGGUUCCACAUGUGAGAAAGGAAGCAUCAGGUCUCUUGAGCCUGUUCUUUAAUCUGUAGGCUGCACCUUCUCUUUAAAUUCUGCUAAUAACACCAUGCGAGAAAACACCCGAGCUUGAAAAGCCCAUGUUCCAACAUAACUGUCCUUCACCACUCUGGAAAAUUAAUGGUUUGUUUCGAUUAUCCCUUUGUUAAACUCCAAAGUCAAAGAGCUCUGAAAGGCAUACGGUUAUUUUAAGUUUCAGGUGAUUUCUGUUGCCAAAUAUUUUAAAAAUUUAAAAUUGCUACGUGACCUCUUAGUAGUACUAUUAGAUUUCCUGACAAUAAAAAUAAGUCUUUUGGUUUCACCAUUUAUAGUUAGUACAGCUAAUAUUAAGUAUAAUUUUAAAAGCCUUUUAUUUUCUCAGAAAGAAAAAAUAAUCAAAAUCUGCUCAGUGUGGUAUUGAAUAAUUAAAAACAAAAGAACAGUAUCUUCACAUUAGUGUUUAAUAUUAAUUGCUUUUUUACCCUUGACACUGGUGCUAAUUAAAUUUUCAUUUUAUUUUCCAUGACUUGUUUAAACAGUUUUUGCAAAUUAUUGCUAAUCAGCCUAAUAAAACUGAAUCACCUAUUAAACAAUUUUGUUUUGAAUUAAAUGGCAUUAAAAUAA
rnacentral:lncRNA from 1 species